UGCAUUUCCUCUUCCUUUUUUUUUGGCAUAAUUUUCAAUAUCCCGAAAUAUGUGAACAGUCACAAAAUGGCAACAAAUAAACAAAGGAUUUGAGUCAAACUCUUCACAUCCAAAUUUAUACAUAAAUUUAUUAUAACUUCAUGCUGUAAAAACGUAACAAUAAAAAUUACUUUAAUUGAUUUAUAAAACUUGUACAAAUCCUUAUAUAAGGAGUGGCUUGCCCUCAAUCAUUAUGAACAACAACCAUAAUUAUUAAUAAAUAAAGUGAACUGCAAAUAAUACUUAAAGGGGAAGUCAAGUCCGUAAUGUAAACAAACGGUUUGUUUACAUUUUGAACUGCUCUAUUUUUUAAAAUAUGAUGUACAGUCUGAAUAUCUCAUAAAUGUCCAAUACUGACGAUCGGUAUCCGAUCGACAAAGCAGUCUUACAGACGGUACGGAUGGAUCCACCGGACAAUCUUGUUUACCGUCGGACAAUAUUUUACCGAUGGCUGCCCAAAAGCAAAUAAACGCCUGCUGCGCAGAUCACUGCGUGAGUGUCUCGGGUUGCACUGCAAGUUCAUUGUGCGAUGUGUGAA